rnacentral:tRNA from 1 species
GGCCUCAUAGUUCAAUGGAUAGAACAAAAGUUUCCUAAACUUUAGAUGUGAGUUCGAUCCUCGCUGGGGCUACAA